AGGUGCGAUCAUACCAGCACUAAUGCACCGGAUCCCAUCAGAACUCCGCAGUUAAGCGUGCUUGGGCGAGAGUAGUACUAGGAUGGGUGACCUCCUGGGAAGUCCUCGUGUUGCACCUCUUUUUUCACGGGAGGUAGCAUUAACGGACUCG
rnacentral:sRNA from 1 species